GGUGAACGCUGGCGGCGUGCUUAAGACAUGCAAGUCGAACGGCAGUCUUCGGACUGUAGUGGCGCACGGGUGAGUAACGCGUUACUGACCUACCCCAAAGUCGCGGAUAACGAUUCGAAAGAAUCGCUAAUACGUGAUGUGCUGUCAGAUUGUGUUCUGCCAGUAAAGAUUGAUUGUUUUGGGAUGGGGUUGCGUUCCAUCAGCUAGUUGGUGGGGUAAAGGCCCACCAAGGCGACGACGGAUAGCCGACCUGAGAGGGUGGCCGGCCACAGGGGCACUGAGACACGGGUCCCACUCCUACGGGAGGCAGCAGUUAGGAAUCUUCCACAAUGGGCGAAAGCCUGAUGGAGCGACGCCGCGUGAGGGAUGAAGGUCUUCGGAUCGUAAACCUCUGAAUCAGGGACGAAAGACACUUCGGUGGGAUGACGGUACCUGAGUAAUAGCACCGGCUAACUCCGUGCCAGCCGCCGCAGUAACAC
rnacentral:rRNA from 1 species